AUGAAAGGCGUCCAUCCAGGACUGGAGCAGCAGUCCAGUAAGUGGAAAGCCUGUACAGCUGGAUCCAACCUGAGCACUGCCUACAGGCAGGAGGAAGAGACGGUGCUGGAGAACUUCCUCCAAAGCAAAACACAGCUUCCCACUCAGCAUCAGAAUGGUUUUGAUCAUUCUUUCCUUCCUCUGUUCCCUGAGAUCCUGCCAAACGGUGACUACCUUCCAGGCUUCCAAGUUUGGGCACUGAAAGUCCCACAUCCCAGGAAAGCGCACAGUCCCAAGCAAACCGGAAUGCUCCAAAUUAAAGUGUUGUUCCAGCCACCUGACUGCUCAGGCUCCCUCCCAAAGGGACAGUAAGUAAAUGCUGGCUAAGAUGGUGCCUCAUCUUUCUUUUUAAUCACAAUGGGUGUUAAAUCACAUCAACUGCUGCUCAGCUUCUAUUAAAAGAAACACAAUUUAAUCUGUCCAUGAAAAAAGUUACAUUAGUAUAUUUUCUAAUGUUCAAUCAUCAUUUGUUGUUGGAAUAAGCCACAUUUGAACACGCUAAAUGUUUCUUAUGAUCUCGUGCUUGAUUUGAUAUUCUAAUAUUUUGUACGUAACGUUUGUUCCUAAAUGAGUUUUGUUCACAGUUUUCUUUUGCCACUUUUGUCUGAUGUUAGUGCCUAGAAUAGACUCGCCUUGCAAAAUGAGUCUGAGAACAUUUCCACUUUUUUCACACCUAUUUCCUUCCUGCCUGGCCUGAAUACAGGAGUGAAAAAUGAAAGAAGAAAGACAUUCCAACCUGCCAGGCAGGAAAUUUGCCUCCAGGUGAACGGCUUCAUCUUUACAUCCAACAGGUACAACAUGUUCAGGGAAAAAAUGUAUUCAAAAUGAUGGACAUCAAGAAAUAUAAUGGUGAAAUGAAGAAAAUAAUUCUUCAUGGAACUCCUGGAGGGAAAAGAAGUAUUUUCUGAGGUAGAAAGAAUGCAUGAAGCCACUCAAAUUCUUCCUCAGCAAGUUUCAAUGCAGAGAAAUAUGAGGCAGCAAUGUCCACAAACCGCAGUGGAAAUAUGAACUCGAAGUGUCAUGGCCUUCACCUCAGCAUUCAAGCAUAAAAAGCAACAGGCAGACACUCUCAGAGAACAGGAGAGACUAUAGCAGCCAGAAACAUGUCUUAAAAUUCUCACUGACAGUUACAUCCAGGCAAAGUGUAUCACAAGGGAAAGGAAACUAGAGGAGCCAGGAAUUCCAGGGCUGCCUGAAGAGGAUGGAGGAGGAAGAGGUCAUGAUGGAGCGGGGAAGAGGGUCCGGACCAGGGAGGAGAAGGGAGGGCUGAAAGAAAAGGAAGGAAGGAAGGAAAGAAGGAAGGAAGGAAGGAAGGAAGGAAGGAAGGAAGGAAGGAAAAGGAGACAGAGGAGGAGGGGUGGAGGAGGAAUCCUCAACAGCAGAGCAAUGCCUGUGGAAAGGCAGUUUUAAAGGGAAAACCACAUAUGUUUCAAGUUGUCCUUAAAAGAGAAAAAUCAAGAGAUUCAUCCAGGGGACCCUGUAAUCACAGCACUGCAGGAGGCUGAGGCAGGAGGAUUACAAAUUCAAGCCCAGCCUAGCUGGGCAAUUUAGCAAGAUGCUAAUUCAAAAAUAAAAGACAAGGGAUGCAACUCAGUGCAAAGGCCC
rnacentral:lncRNA from 1 species